rnacentral:rRNA from 1 species
CGCGUAGGCGGAUUAGAAAGUUGGGGUGAAAUCCCGGGCUCAACCCCGGAACUGCCUCCAAAACUACUAGUCUAGAGUUCGAGAGAGGUGAGUGGAAUUCCGAGUGUAGAGGUGAAAUUCGUAGAUAUUCGGAGGAACACCAGUGGCGAAGGCGGCUCACUGGCUCGAUACUGACGCUGAGGUGCGAAAGUGUGGGGAGCAAACA